rnacentral:rRNA from 1 species
CAGUAGCCGCGGUAAUACGUAGGUGGCAAGCGUUGUCCGGAAUUAUUGGGCGUAAAGCGCGCGCAGGCGGAUCAGUUAGUCUGUCUUAAAAGUUCGGGGCUUAACACCGUGAUGGGAUGGAAACUGCUGAUCUAGAGUAUCGGAGAGGAAAGUGGAAUUCCUAGUGUAGCGGUGAAAUGCGUAGAUAUUAGGAAGAACACCAGUGGCGAAGGCGACUUUCUGGACGAAAACUGACGCUGAGGCGCGAAAGCCAGGGGAGCGAACGGGAUCAGAUACCCCCGUAGUCCCUGUCUCUUAUAAC